rnacentral:rRNA from 1 species
UACGUAGGGGGCAAGCGUUGUCCGGAAUCAUUGGGCGUAAAGAGCUCGUAGGCGGCUGUUCAAGUCGAACGUGAAAACUCGGAGCUCAACUCCGAGCCUGCGUUCGAUACUGGCGUGCUUGAGGACUGGAGAGGAGACUGGAAUUCAUGGUGUAGCAGUGAAAUGCGUAGAGAUCAUGAGGAAGACCAGUGGCGAAGGCGGGUCUCUGGACAGUUCCUGACACUGAGACACGAAGGCCAGGGGAGCAAACGGG